UACGAAGGGGGCUAGCGUUGCUCGGAAUCACUGGGCGUAAAGCGCACGUAGGCGGAUUGUUAAGUCGGGGGUGAAAUCCUGGAGCUCAACUCCAGAACUGCCUUCGAUACUGGCGAUCUUCGAGUUCGGGAGAGGUGAGUGGAACUCCGAGUGUAGAGGUGAAAUUCGUAGAUAUUCGGAAGAACACCAGUGGCGAAGGCGGCUCACUGGCCCGGUACUGACGCUGAGGUGCGAAAGCGUGGGGAGCAAACAGG
rnacentral:rRNA from 1 species